UGCGCUGCUGACUUAAGGCCCCAACACCAAACACAGAAGCAACAGCCUUACACAGAGUGUUCAGCAAGCUCCCACAAUUGUGUAAGCCCGAGCUGACAGAGAUAGACAGAAACAACACAAGGACCCAUCAGCAGACGAAUGGAUGAUCAAAACGUGAACUGUAUAAUGAUGACUGCACAAGAUACCAAAUCAGAAGAGGUUCCAUUUCCAAGUUCUGAUUCAUAAGAGCUUCCAAAGUAGAGCCGGUACAUAUUGAAUUUUGAUUCAUCUGGAAGGAUCUCGGACAU